GACGAACGCUGGCGGCGUGCUUAACACAUGCAAGUCGAACGGAAAGGCCCUGCUUUUGUGGGGUGCUCGAGUGGCGAACGGGUGAGUAACACGUGAGUAACCUGCCCUUGACUUUGGGAUAACUUCAGGAAACUGGGGCUAAUACCGGAUAGGAGCUCCUGCUGCAUGGUGGGGGUUGGAAAGUUUCGGCGGUUGGGGAUGGACUCGCGGCUUAUCAGCUUGUUGGUGGGGUAGUGGCUUACCAAGGCUUUGACGGGUAGCCGGCCUGAGAGGGUGACCGGCCACAUUGGGACUGAGAUACGGACCAGACUCCUACGGGAGGCAGCAGUGAGGAAUAUUGCACAAUGGGCGGAAGCCUGAUGCAGCAACGCCGCGUGCGGGAUGACGGCCUUCGGGUUGUAAACCGCUUUCGCCUGUGACGAAGCGUGAGUGACGGUAAUGGGUAAAGAAGCACCGGCUAACUACGUG
rnacentral:rRNA from 1 species